UUGUAACAUCAAGAGAGUUGAAGACGUGGCUUUGGAUCAAUAGUCAGUUGAAAGCAAAGGCUAUGGUUUGCUAGCUAUGAAGAUCUUUAUUAGACGAACACCGCGUGUACUGUCUAUGGUUCCACAGUAUUAAAAGUGAUGCGCACCAUAGAUGACAGAAUUGUCCAUGCCCUCAAUACUACUGUGCCCACUGCAUCCUUUUCAGACAAAGUGGAUGCCACACAGACCUGCAAAGAACUUUACGAAUCUGUUUUCAAUGAAAGGUGCUGAAUUCACUACAUCCCUCCCAAGAUCAAGUGAAUAAUACUUCUGUCAACACAGUUGUUCUGCGGAAAACACCUGGAGCUGAGCCUGGACAUUGUCACUGACCCCACAAACCCUCCUCCAUCAUUAUGCUCUGUGGCUUUGUGUUUCUACAGUGAGGAAACACUACUGUCGCCCGAGUCCUGUAAACCUUUUCGUAUAAAUUGUACAAAAGAUUUUAUAACCAAUGAAAAGUUGUCAUUUGAAGAAAAAACGUCCCGUCUGUUCUCAGAUGUUGAUGUGCACCAAUUAAAAUUAAACGAUGCAGUUUUGCUGAUAAGGUGAACAUCUUUUAGCUAUUUUUAGUGGAAACAUAUAGGCCUAUAUUUAUUGCAGUGUAGCCUCAA